GACUCUGUUCAACGGCCGCGGUAUUCUGACCGUGCGAAGGUAGCGUAAUCACUUGUUCUUUAAAUAAGGACUUGUAUGAAUGGCACCACGAGGGUUAUACUGUCUCCCUUUUUUAAUCAGUGAACCUAAUCUCCCCGUGAAGAAGCGGGGAUAAACCUAUAAGACGAGAAGACCCCAUGGAGCUUUAAACAAACAGCACUUGCUAGCACUAAUUUAAAUUAAGCCCAGCAUACUGACUGCUAGUUUUCGGUUGGGGCGACCGCGGAGAAUAAACCACCCUCCACGUUGAAAGAAAUUUUUCUUAGCUAUAAGCUACAACUUUAAGCAUCAUUAAUUUGACAACUCUUGACCCAAUAAAAUUGAUCAACGAACCUAGUUACCCUGGGGAUAACAGCGCAAUCCAUUUCAAGAGCCCCUAUCGACAAAUGGGUUUACGACCUCGAUGUUGGAUCAGGGUAUCCCAGUGGUGCAGCC
rnacentral:rRNA from 1 species